GAUGAACGCUGGCGGCGUGCCUAAUACAUGCAAGUCGAGCGAACAGACGAGGAGCUUGCUCCUCUGACGUUAGCGGCGGACGGGUGAGUAACACGUGGAUAACCUACCUAUAAGACUGGGAUAACUUCGGGAAACCGGAGCUAAUACCGGAUAAUAUAUUGAACCGCAUGGUUCAAUAGUGAAAGACGGUUUUGCUGUCACUUAUAGAUGGAUCCGCGCCGCAUUAGCUAGUUGGUAAGGUAACGGCUUACCAAGGCAACGAUGCGUAGCCGACCUGAGAGGGUGAUCGGCCACACUGGAACUGAGACGCGGUCCAGACUCCUACGGGAGGCAGCAGUAGGGAAUCUUCCGCAAUGGGCGAAAGCCUGACGGAGCAACGCCGCGUGAGUGAUGAAGGUCUUCGGAUCGUAAAACUCUGUUAUUAGGGAAGAACAAAUGUGUAAGUAACUAUGCACGUCUUGACGGUACCUAAUCAGAAAGCCACGGCUAACUACGU
rnacentral:rRNA from 1 species